rnacentral:rRNA from 1 species
AUUGAACGCUGGCGGCAGGCCUAACACAUGCAAGUCGAGCGAGCGGCGGACGGUUGAGUAAUGCCUGGGAAUUGCCCAGUCGAGGGGGCUAACAGUUGCAAACGACUGCUAAACCCGCAUACGAUUGGAUUGCCCAGGUGGGGUUAGCUAGUUGGUGAGGUAAUGGCCCACCAAGGCGACGAUCCCUAGCUGGUCUGAGAGGAUGAUCAGCCACACUGGAACUGAGACACGGUCCAGACUCCUACGGGAGGCAGCAGUGGGGAAUAUUGCACAAUGGGGGAAAGCCUGAUCCAGCCAUGCCGCGUGUGUGAAGAAGGCCUUCGGGUUGUAAAGCACUUUAAGUUGGGAGGCGUUACUAGCAGAAGAAGCACCGGCUAACUCCGUGCCAGCAGCCGCGGUAAUUC